GAUGAACGCUGGCGGCGUGCUUAACACAUGCAAGUCGAACGGAAAGGCUCCUGCUUGCAGGGGUACUCGAGUGGCGAACGGGUGAGUAACACGUGGGUGAUCUGCCCUGCACUUCGGGAUAAGCCUGGGAAACUGGGUCUAAUACCGGAUAGGACGAUGGUUUGGAUGCCAUUGUGGAAAGUUUUUCGGUGUGGGAUGAGCUCGCGGCCUAUCAGCUUGUUGGUGGGGUAAUGGCCUACCAAGGCGUCGACGGGUAGCCGGCCUGAGAGGGUGUACGGCCACAUGGGGACUGAGAUACGGCCCAGACUCCUACGGGAGGCAGCAGUGGGGAAUAUUGCACAAGGGGCGCAAGCCUGAUGCAGCGACGCCGCGUGGGGGAUGACGGCCUUCGGGUUGUAAACUCCUUUCGCUAGGGACGAAGCGCAAGUGACGGUACCUGGAGAAGAAGCACCGGCUAACUACGU
rnacentral:rRNA from 1 species